rnacentral:rRNA from 1 species
UACAGAGGGGGCAAGCGUUGCUCGGAAUCACUGGGCGUAAAGCGCACGUAGGCGGCUUUCUAAGUCAGGGGUGAAACCCUGGAGCUCAACUCCAGAACUGCCUUUGAUACUGGAGAGCUUGAGUCCGGAAGAGGUGAGUGGAACUCCGAGUGUAGAGGUGAAAUUCGUAGAUAUUCGGAAGAACACCAGUGGCGAAGGCGGCUCACUGGUCCGGUACUGACGCUGAGGUGCGAAAGCGUGGGGAGCAAACAGG